rnacentral:lncRNA from 1 species
GCAAGAAAAAAUCUUACCAUGGAAUCUGUUGAUUCUUCCGGUGAAGAGGAGUAAGUAUAUAUACAUUUUUCACAUUAAUUUUGAACUCUCCUCUUUAUCUUGUAUUUUAUGCUUUUUUGUGUCAUUGGAUGUUUGACGAGAACAUUUGAUCCGCUGGGAAUUCUUUUUAAGGUUGCAAGAACAUCCCUCAAGAAGCUCAAUGUCCUCAUCAAAAGUUAAAAUUGAUGCUAACUCUGGAUUUUCGAACAGCAACUUUGAAAUUGAUGCUAACCCAAAAUUUAUGAUUUAAAACAUAAAAAUAGAUAUUGAAAACUCGAAUACAAAGUCCAUAUAUGAAACAAAAUUAAAUCACAGACAACCAUGAACUGGUGAAUCACUGUGAAUGUAAUACAAACUUGUAAUAAACCCCAAAAUACAUUCCUUGACUUGAUUAUGAUGGUGGUAUAACAUAAUUAUGUCUACCAUGGUUCAUGAUGACUCAAAAAAUAAAAAUAAACAAAAAUAUUACGAAAGUAUAGAAAUAAGAGUAUAAAAAUCAAAGGCAGACAGUAUGGAAAUGGAGAACCAAUACUAAUUUUGUGACAUGCUACUUAAAAGUAAAACUCGAAUACAAAGUCCAUAUAUGAAACAAAAUUAAAUCACAGACAACCAUGAACAUGAAAUGUGGUUUGCUGGCAAGAAAAAAUCUUACCAUGGAAUCUGUUGAUUCUUCCGGUGAAGAGGAGUAAGUAUAUAUACAUUUUUCACAUUAAUUUUGAACUCUCCUCUUUAUCUUGUAUUUUAUGCUUUUUUGUGUCAUUGGAUGUUUGACGAGAACAUUUGAUCCGCUGGGAAUUCUUUUUAAGGUUGCAAGAACAUCCCUCAAGAAGCUCAAUGUCCUCAUCAAAAGUUAAAAUUGAUGCUAACUCUGGAUUUUCGAGCAGCAACUUUGAAAUUGAUGCUAACCCAAAAUUUAUGAUUUAAAACAUAAAAAUAGAUAUUGAAAACUCGAAUACAAAGUCCAUAUAUGAAACAAAAUUAAAUCACAGACAACCAUGAACUGGUGAAUCACUGUGAAUGUAAUACAAACUUGUAAUAAACCCCAAAAUACAUUCCUUGACUUGAUUAUGAUGGUGGUAUAACAUAAUUAUGUCUACCAUGGUUCAUGAUGACUCAAAAAAUAAAAAUAAACAAAAAUAUUACGAAAGUAUAGAAAUAAGAGUAUAAAAAUCAAAGGCAGACAGUAUGGAAAUGGAGAACCAAUACUAAUUUUGUGACAUGCUACUUAAAAGUAAAACGUAAGAAAAAAUUAAAAUUGGAACUGCUUUUAUAGAUGUAUAGAGUUGAAUAAUUGCAUAGAACAUGAAAUUUGGGAGGAAAUAGUACUUUACAAUCUUUACCUCAGAUUGGUUAUAACCAUUUGUACGCAAUAGCAGAUUGAUCUACUUGUCCAAUACUCUGCUUCAAGAUAACUCAGAAAACGAAACUACAAACAUAAAUACAAAAUAAAAUAACUCUACUACACUAUUUUAAUAUCUUUUAGUUUUUUCCCAUUUUUGGUAAAAAAAGUCUUCUCUUUGUUUUAUCUCUUUUCAUUCUAAAUAUACGAUCAAGAUUCAAAGUUGAUAAUCUAGGCAUAAAGCUAGCUUGUUUGAAGUUUGUUUUUCUAUAACAACAAGAUGAAGUUUAUCUAGAAUGAGAAUAGAUCGAUUAUUGAAUCAAAUUUUUUUUAUUAGUUUUAAUCAUCAAUUUAGGCCUAUCUAUAGACAUAUCAAUAGAUACCUUUUCUAAAAAAAGGUAGAGAUCUUAAAAUACGUAUGCAGAAUACUCAUAUUUUAUCUCUUAUUGACUUAUUCUCAUUUCUCAAUACCAAACUAUUAACUACCAUCUUCAGCCUUCAGGCGGGAUCAAAUUCUGAAAAGAAGAAUAAUAGAAUAACACAAUAUGAAGUAUAAAAUAAAUGUUGUGAUGUUGUUUUAGAAUUAUUUUCUUUCAGAAUGAUCAAGUUGAAAGGAAAUAAGUAGACUAUCUAUAGUAAACACACAAAAUCGAUUACCAAUCAAUAACAGUAUAAGAUGCCAGAUUUCAAUCAAAUGAGAUGAUUUGUUUUGAAUUUUGGAUUUCAUUAUUAUGUGACUUGAAUUCAAUCUGCUGUAUUAUUAUGCUCAGAAUAAAGUGGCAAACUACUAAGUGAGUCUUUGGUAUAUAGUUUUCCCACCUAAUCCUCCAUAAUCAUAGAGAUAAUUUGUGAAAACCAUUUUCUCACAUUAUCAAAGAAGUGAUUUUCCCUUGAGAGUUCUCAUGCUGUUUUUUUUAUACAGAUGCUUCUGAAUUUUUUUAGGUUGACUAGUGACUACGCUUUCCGCUUGAGUAUUUAUUUUUAAUUUGAAUAUUAAUUAUGGAAUAUGAAUGUAUUGAUUUUUUAUAGGUUUUUAUAAUCAAUUAUAUGAAUAGGUCAUGUCAAAAUUUGUAUAGGUUUUUUAAUUAGUACAAAAAAAAUUUCUCGCCUUCGGCGAAUCUUGCCCCCCCUGCCGGGGAAUCCUGGAUACGCCACUGGCCGCCGCCAACCACUCGACGUCGGCUUAACCCCAGGACUCCACUGGAGGAAUACGAGGAACUUUUGCUUGCUGAACUGGGAAGCCGUCGUGCACAAGUCCAUCCAACACCUCGUCGUCCGCCUCCGGUGAUGCCGCGGACUGAGCCAGUUCCUGAGUACGUCACGGAAGCUCCUCUAGCUCCUCAUAACGACAUUGUCGUAUGCCCUCAAUGUGGGUAUCUUUUCAUAGCUUUCCUCUACACAGCAGCAACAAGCAUGUUCUAUACCCCAGAUCCCGUGGAGCCACUCAACUUCGACUGGAUCAAUAACUUGGAGCUUGGAGAUCCCUAGGAGAUGGUGCAGGUCUGAUGUGCAAAAGUGUUCCAGAUUUUACUAGAGUCGCAGCAUCUUAGUUUUAGUUGGUGGUCAAUGUUUGUUUACAAUAUCAACUAUAUUUUGAAAUAUUGAUCUCCCUCACUUUUUCCAACGUUAUCCAUCUUGUUAGUAUAACAUUUAAAACUAACAGAGAUCCUGGAACUUCGCCUAUAUUUCUUAUGGUAAGAGAAAGGAACUUCGCUUUGAAGCUUGCUUAACAACGAGAAUGAAGGUAUAUGAUUCUGAUCACCUCGAACACAGAACAACAAGUUCUACUAGCGUCAUCAACAUGAUCGAUUCGAUGACCGAGAACAGUAGGCUAACAACGAUCCCCGAUCGCCGAAUUCUAUUUGAUGAUCGAGAGCAGUAAUCUAAUAUAUCAACCAACCAAAUCGUCUAGAUGGUAGGAAUUCAUGAAAAAAGAUAGAGGAAGGAUAUCUCGAAUUUCAUUAAAUGUGGAGAUAUAUUCUUUAAAACAAUAACGAGAUUGCAAUAAAACGAAAUGGCAUUCUCAUUGUAAAAAUGAAAAAUUAAUAUCUUGGAGUAAAGUAUAAAUAUCCUGGAUAUUACUUAUUAUGUAUGAUAAUUAAUAACUGACAAGUAGAAAGUAUGAGUGUAUGAACCAGAUCGGUGAUAUGAGAUGAGAAUCGCCGGUACUGCCGGAGCCGCCGUCAUGAAUCUGACAAUUUUAGAUGUGUAUCUCCAAAAUUGCCAAAGUCAUCGAACGCUCCAGAAAAUUCACACCAAAAUGCUCGUCUCCGGUUACAUCAACGACACUUAUGCCGCAAGUCGAAUCCUAGAUUUCACCACCCGUUCUUCCUUUAUUCCUCUCGAUUACUCCAUCCAAUUCCUCCACCAUCUCCGCCACCCAAAUGGCUUCUCUUGGAACAGAGUCAUGAAAGCCUCCGUCAUCCGAGAUUCUUCCCACCUCACGCUGAAGAUAUACAAGGCCAUGUUGUUGUCAUUGGACGGUGACGGCGACGGUGGUGCAUUGGUUUUCGAUAAAUACACCUACCCAAUUCUUUUCCAGGCGUGUUCGGUGAGGAGAGACGAGAGGCAAGGACAACAGGUCCAUGCCCAUGUUUUGGAAUUGGGGUUCGGAUCAGAUGUGUACGUGGUGAACACACUGAUGAAUCUCUACUCUGUGUGUGAGAAUGCCAAAGAUGCACGGAGACUGUUCGAUGAAAGUCCUAUGCUAGAUAUGGUGUCGUGGAACACGAUGCUGGCAGCCUACGUGGACGCCGGUAAUGUAGAAGAGGCUACAUGGGUUUACAAUGAGAUGCCUUUGCCGCGAAGUACAAUAGCAUCGAAUUCUCUAAUUGCUUUAUUUGGCCGGAAGAAUCACGUAGACGAUGCACGGAAUCUAUUUGAUAGAAUGCCGGUAAAAGACAUGGUGUCAUGGACAGCCAUUAUAUCUUGUUACGAGCAAAACACCAAGUAUGAGAAGGCCUUGGAGAUGUUCAGAAUGAUGGUGAAUUCAGACAAGAUUCCGGUGGAUGAGAUUGCGCUGAUCAGCGCACUGACUGCUUGUUCUCGAUUGGCGGGAAGUAACGAAGGAAGAACAAUUCAUGGAUUGGUUUUUAGAACUGUUUCAGUUGAUUACAUCAAUCUUCUGAAUUCGUUGAUUCACAUGUAUUUAUGUUUUGGGGAUGUUGUAGCUGCCCGGAGAUUUUUCGACAGCGCCAGCUUAUUGGAUCAGAUAUCAUGGAAUUGUAUGAUAGCAGGAUAUGCACAGCAUGAUCUGCAUGAAGAGACUCUGGGAAUGUUUCAUGAGAUGAUGAGGCAACAGUAUGGUUCAGUGAAGCCCGACGAAGGUGUACUGGUGAGUGUGAUCACAGCUUGUACACGGCUUUCGUCUCUGGAACAAGGCAGAUUGAUUCAUUCGUAUAUAAAGGAAAUGAGAUAUGACCCGAAUUCGAUCUUGGGCACAUCUUUAGUGGAUAUGUAUAUGAAGUGUGGCUGUGCAGAAGAUGCUAUGGAAGUGUUUGACGAAAUGCCAAAUAAAGUUGUGUCAACCUGGAACGCUCUGAUAUCUGGGUUGGCAAUGAAUGGGUUGGUUAGUGAGUCACUUGCGAAAUUCUCGUUGAUGACAACACAAGGCGAUGUGGUGCCCAAUAAGAUCACAUUUGUCGCUGUUUUAGGAGCUUGCCGGCAUGUUGGAUUGGUGGAUGAAGGGAGAAAAUUGUUUGAUUCAAUGAAAGAGAUAUACAAGAUAGAGCCCAAUGUGAAGCAUUAUAGUUGCAUGGUCGACCUUCUUGGCCGUGCUGGUUUUCUCAGGGAAGCCGAAGAUUUGAUAGAAACCAUGCCAAUGGCACCUGAUGUUGCGACGUGGGGAGCAUUGCUGGGUGCUUGUCGGAAACAUGGUGAAUCUGAGAUGGGUGAGAGGAUUGGAAGAAGGCUGGUUGAGCUAGAACCCGAACACGACGGUUUUCGCGUGUUGCUUUCGAACAUCUACGCAUGUAGAGGAAAAUGGGACAAUGCAAUGGAGAUGAGGCAUAAGAUGAAACAACAGAGUGUUGUUAAAAUACCUGGUUGCAGCAGCUUGAUACAUGCAAAUAAUGAUUUUUUAUAAAUAAAUUAAUGAUACAGAUACAUUUGAGGUUCAAUAACAAAAAAAUGAUUGAACCUCUUUGUUUGUAUUUUUCUUAUGUACAUUGUAAACUAAUUGAAGUUGGGGGUAUGAAUGAACGAAUGAAUGGUGUUAGAUCAUAUGUGCCGUGAUUUCGCAGCUUGACGAGAACAUUUGAUCCGCUGGGAAUUCUUUUUAAGGUUGCAAGAACAUCUCUCAAGAAGCUCAAUGUCCUCAUCAAAAGUUAAAAUUGAUGCUAACUCUGGAUUUUCGAGCAGCAACUUUGAUGUUAGAUAUCCAGCUAUUGUCCAAGUUUGAUAGAGCCGUGAUUGUUUUCC